GAUGAAGAACGUAGCGAAAUGCGAUAAGUAAUGUGAAUUGCAGAAUUCAGUGAAUCAUCGAAUCUUUGAACGCACAUUGCGCCCGCCAGUAUUCUGGCGGGCAUGCCUGUUCGAGCGUCAUUACAACCCUCAGGCCCCCGGGCCUGGCGUUGGGGAUCGGCGGAGCCCCCCGUGGGCACACGCCGUCCCCCAAAUACAGUGGCGGUCCCGCCGCAGCUUCCACCGCGUAGUAGCUAACACCUCGCGACUGGAGAGCGGCGCGGCCACGCCGUAAAACACCCAACUCUUCUGAAGUUGACCUCGAAUCAGGUAGGAAUACCCGCUGAACUUAAGCAUAUCAAUAAGCGGAGGA
rnacentral:misc_RNA from 1 species